CACUAGCAGGCCUACUGGACUGAAUGGAUACAUCUCCACGUGUGGAGGUGCUGGCUCCACCACUAUCACUAGCAUGUCUACUUGACUGAGUGGAUACAUCUCCACGUGUGGAGGUGCUGGCUCCACCACUAUCACUAGCAGGCCUACUGGACUGAGUGGGUACUGGCUCCACCACUAUCACUAGCAGGUCUACUGGACUGACUGGACACAUCUCCACCACUAUCACUAGCAGGUCUACUGGACUGAGUGGAUACAUCUCCACCACUAUCACUAGCAGGUCUACUGGACUGAGUGGAUACAUCUCCACCACUAUCACUAGCAGGUCUACUGGACUGAGUGGAUACAUCCCCACCACUAUCACUAGCAGGUCUACUGGACUGAGUGGAUACAUCUCCACCACUAACACUAGCAGGUCUACUGGACUGAGUGGAUACAUCCCCACCACUAUCACUAGCAGGUCUACUGGACUGAGUGGAUACAUCUCCACCACUAACACUAGCAGGUCUACUGGACUGAGUGGAUACAUCUCCACCACUAUCACUAGCAGGUCUACUGGACUGAGUGGAUACAUCUCCACCACUAUCACUAGCAGGUCUACUGGACUGAGUGGAUACAUCUCCACCACUAUCACUAGCAGGUCUACUGGACUGAGUGG
rnacentral:lncRNA from 1 species